rnacentral:rRNA from 1 species
UACAGAGGGUGCAAGCGUUGUUCGGAAUUAUUGGGCGUAAAGCGCGUGUAGGCGGCUUGUUAAGUCGGGUGUGAAAGCCCUCAGCUCAACUGAGGAAGGGCGCCCGAAACUGGCGAGCUUGAGUGUCGGAGAGGAUGGCGGAAUACCCCAAGUAGAGGUGAAAUUCGUAGAUAUGGGGUGGAACACCGGUGGCGAAGGCGGCCAUCUGGACGACAACUGACGCUGAGACGCGAAAGCGUGGGGAGCAAACAGGAUUAGAUACCCUGGUAGUCCACGCCGUAAACGAUGAGAACUAGGUGUCGUGGGUGUUGACCCCUGCGGUGCCGUAGCUAACGCAUUAAGUUCUCCGCCUGGGAAGUACGGUCGCAAGACUAAA